rnacentral:rRNA from 1 species
UACGGAGGGUGCGAGCGUUAAUCGGAAUUACUGGGCGUAAAGCGCAUGCAGGCGGCUUGUUAAGUCAGAUGUGAAAGCCCGGAGCUUAACUUCGGAAGGUCAUUUGAAACUGGCAAGCUAGAGUCUUGUAGAGGGGGGUAGAAUUUCAGGUGUAGCGGUGAAAUGCGUAGAGAUCUGAAGGAAUACCGGUGGCGAAGGCGGCCCCCUGGACAAAGACUGACGCUCAGAUGCGAAAGCGUGGGUAGCAAACGGG